GCUGGCUAAAUGGCAUGUGCACGCCUUUAACUUUCUUUCCACCUGUGCACUCUUUGUAGGCGCAAGUCUAUGAUUUACAAACACUAAUUAAUGAUAUGAUGGUUGGCUCUAAUAUAAUACAACUUUCAACAAUGGAUCUCUUGGUUCUCGCAUCGAUGAAGAACGCAGCGAAAUGCGAUAAGUAAUGUGAAUUGCAGAUCUCAGUGAAUCAUCGAAUCUUUGAACGCAUCUUGCGCUCUUUGGUAUUCCAAAGGGCAUGCCUGUUUGAGUGUCAUCAAAUUCUCAAAGCUUUGCUUUGGAUAUGAAGAUUGCUGGCCUGGUCAGCUUCUUUGAAAUGCAUUAGUGGGAUCAUGCUAGGUGUGAUAACUAUUAUCACCGAGUGUUAGUGUCCUGCUUAACCCCCAAUUUUUUGACCUUUGACCUCAAAUCAGGUAAGACUACCCGCUGAACUUAAGCAUAUCAAUAAGCGGAGGAAAAGAAACUAACAAGGAUUCCCCUAGUAACUGCGAGUGAAGCGGGAUGAGCUCAAAUUUAAAAUCUGGCAGUCUUUGACCGUCCGAGUUGUAAUUUAGAGAAGCGAUGCCGGCGCUGGGCUGUGUACMARUCUCCUGGAAUGGAGCGUCAUAGAGGGUGAGAAUCCCGUAUAUGACACAGAUGCCAGGGUACAGUGGCACGCUCUCAAAGAGUCGAGUUGUUUGGGAAUGCAGCUCAAAAUGGGUGGUAAAUUCCAUCUAAAGCUAAAUACAGGCGAGAGACCGAUAGCGAACAAGUACCGUGAGGGAAAGAUGAAAAGAACUUUGGAAAGAGAGUUAAACAGUACGUGAAAUUGUUGAAAGGGAAACGCUUGAAGUCAGUCGCGUUGCCGGAAAUCACACUUGCUCUGGCUUGUGGCUCUUUCCUUGGCAAUGGGUCAGCAUCAGUUUUGAUUGUUGGAAAAAGGUCAGAGGAAUGUGGCAUCCUUGGAUGUGUUAUAGCCUCUGAUCAUAUGCAAUGAUUGAGACUGAGGAACUCGGCACUUGUGCUUAGGAUGCUGGCAUAAUGGCU
rnacentral:sRNA from 2 species